AGUGAACGCUGGCGGUAGGCCUAACACAUGCAAGUCGAACGGCAGCACAGUAAGAGCCUGCUCUUACGGGUGGCGAGUGGCGGACGGGUGAGGAAUACAUCGGAAUCUACUUUUUCGUGGGGGAUAACGUAGGGAAACUUACGCUAAUACCGCAUACGACCUACGGGUGAAAGCAGGGGAUCUUCGGACCUUGCGCGAUUGAAUGAGCCGAUGUCGGAUUAGCUAGUUGGCGGGGUAAAGGCCCACCAAGGCGACGAUCCGUAGCUGGUCUGAGAGGAUGAUCAGCCACACUGGAACUGAGACACGGUCCAGACUCCUACGGGAGGCAGCAGUGGGGAAUAUUGGACAAUGGGCGCAAGCCUGAUCCAGCCAUACCGCGUGGGUGAAGAAGGCCUUCGGGUUGUAAAGCCCUUUUGUUGGGAAAGAAAAGCAGCAGGUUAAUACCCCGCUGUUUUGACGGUACCCAAAGAAUAAGCACCGGCUAACUUCGU
rnacentral:rRNA from 1 species